GACACUUUGGCGGAGUGGUUAACGCGAUGCCCUGCUAUAGUAGUUGAGGCAUUUCCUUCGGGAGCGCAGGUUCGAAUCCUGCAGGUGUCG
rnacentral:tRNA from 2 species